AGAGUUACCCCAGGGUAAGUGAAAAGAUGGUGGACCCCAGAACAUGUGCUUGAUUCAUGCCAUAUGUCUGUGGACCACCUGUCUUGAGGAGACCCCUCUCGCUGA
rnacentral:pre_miRNA from 1 species